AUUGAACGCUGGCAGCAGGCUUAACACAUGCAAGUCGAGCGGGGGAGGUUACUUCGGUAACUGACCUAGCGGCGGACGGGUGAGUAAUGCUUAGGAAUCUGCCUAUUAGUGGGGGACAACAUUCCGAAAGGAAUGCUAAUACCGCAUACGUCCUACGGGGGAAAGCAGGGGAUCUUCGGACCUUGCGCUAAUAGAUGAGCCUAAGUCGGAUUAGCUAGUUGGUGGGGUAAAGGCCUACCAAGGCGACGAUCUGUAGCGGGUCUAGGAGGAUGAUGCGGCCCACUGGCACUGUGCCACGGCCCAGAUUCCUACGGGAGGCAGCGGUGGGGAAUAUUGGACAAUGGGGGGAACCCUGAUCCAGCCAUGCCGCGUGUGUGAAGAAGGCCUUUUGGUUGUAAAGCACUUUAAGCGAGGAGGAGGCUCCUUUAGUUAAUACCUAAAGAGGGUGGACGUUACUCGCAGAAUAAGCACCGGCUAACUCUGUGCCAGCAGCCGCCGUAA
rnacentral:rRNA from 1 species